AACAAAAACAAGUCACAAGUGCUCAGAACACUCCGGAAGAACACGCAUUCACGGAGUGGCCAUCUGCGAGUUCACGGAGUUCCUGGGGAGACUCGGGGCAGAAGGGAAGGGCGGCACCGCACAACAAUGCCGGGGUCUAGCUCCCGCUGGCUCGAAGUGGCAAAGGGCUGGAGUGUCACUGACCUGUUUGUCCAAGUCCUGAGCUAUUGCCAUAGGAUAGCGGCAGCAAGGAAGUCCAUGGUCCAAGUCUGAAGCAGCUGUCUCUGCCCUGGCAGCAGUUUCCCUACCUGAGCGAGGAGAACAAUGUGACCGAAGGCAAUUGAUGUGAACACAAGAAUCAACAACAUAGAGGAGACACAGUCCCAGGUGUAAAGAGGGGAGCUGUCUCUCCCUGUGGCCUCAACAGAAGGAGAGCGUUGUCAACCUAGGAUGCAGACUCACUGUCUCAUCCUGAGGGUCGGUCCAACUGCCAUAGGAGAUUUUGGAACAACUGUCCUCACUUGAGGGUCGACAUGCUGUACAGUCCAUGGGGACCGCUGGACAGUCGCAGUCCCAGAUCACUUCUCCUACUGGCUUUCCUCAGGAGCUCACACUACCCGUCUCAGCCCCAAGAUGUUCCUUCUGUCUGCUCCUGUUCCUGACUCAAACACGGGUUGUUUGCCAUCAGUUCUGUACCCUGUUUUAUCAACAUUGUUAUUGUCAUAUCUUA